UACGUAGGGGGCAAGCGUUGUCCGGAAUUAUUGGGCGUAAAGAGCGCGUAGGCGGUCCGAUAAGUCGGCUGUGAAAGUCAAGGGCUCAACCCUUGGAAGCCGGCCGAUACUGUCGGACUAGAGUCCGGAAGAGGCGAGUGGAAUUCCCGGUGUAGCGGUGAAAUGCGCAGAUAUCGGGAGGAACACCAAUUGCGAAGGCAGCUCGCUGGGACGGUACUGACGCUGAGGAGCGAAAGCGUGGGGAGCGAACAGG
rnacentral:rRNA from 1 species